CUUUUAGAGAUAGAAGUGUUCUCUUCGGAGACAAAGUGACAGGUGGUGCAUGGUCGUCGUCAGCUCGUGUCGUGAGAUGUUGGGUUAAGUCCCGCAACGAGCGCAACCCUUAUUGUUAGUUGCCAGCAUUCAGUUGGGCACUCUAGCGAGACUGCCGGUGACAAACCGGAGGAAGGCGGGGACGACGUCAGAUCAUCAUGCCCCUUAUGACCUGGGCUACACACGUGCUACAAUGGCGUAUACAACGAGUUGCCAACCUGCGAGGGUGAGCUAAUCUCUUAAAGUACGUCUCAGUUCGGACUGCAGUCUGCAACUCGACUGCACGAAGUCGGAAUCUCUAGUAAUCGCGGAUCAGCACGCCGCGGUGAAUACGUUCCCGGGUCUUGUACACACCGA
rnacentral:rRNA from 1 species